rnacentral:rRNA from 1 species
CCAAGGAGUCUAACAUGUGCGCGAGUCACUCGGUCUUGAAUAGGCCAGAGAGGCGCAAUGAAAGUAAAGUUGAUUGAGUUACGAUCCUCAUUUGUCUUCGGACGGUGAGGCGCAGUAACAGCCCGCCAAUUUCGCUUUUUGACGAUAUGGCGGAGUUAUAGCGUACACGUUGGUACCCGAAAGAUGGUGAACUAUGCCUGGGCAAGACGAAGCCAGAGGAAACUCUGGUGGAGGUCUGUAGCGAUUCUGACGUGCAAAUCGAUCGUCCGACCUGGGUAUAGGGGCGAAAGACUAAUCGAACCAUC